UGGGUUCCCUGUUCUCUGCUUUUGACCCUUUUUGGCUAAGCUUACGAUCGCAAUGUCAACCAUGGCAGCAGCUACGGCGGCGGCGGCCAUACCCUUCACGCCAUGCGUUCUUCGCGUACCAAAGACGCCCUCACUUCCACUCCUCACUUCUUCUUCUCUCCAUUCUCUCUCCUCAAAUACAAUAAAGCCUCCCUCUUUAAAGGCUCUUUCCUCUCGCGCCAAAGCGCUGCGGCCACAGUGCUCACUCAUGGCGCCCGCCGCACAGGGUGAUCUGGCACUUGCAAAAGCAUAUUGGGUUUCUAAGUCUCUCAUUGCAUGGAACAUAAACAAUGAUGAUGCCUACUACUACAUAUAUGCGAGUAGAACGGCCUGCUUGUACACAACAAGUGAGGGAAUUGCAGGAGAGGACUUGAAAAUUCAGAUAGAAGUGGAUGAUGGGGGGCUUCCAAAAAAUGUGACCGAAAAAUUUCCUCACAUCAGAGAUUACAGAGCUCUUAGAGUUCCAGAUAACGUGGAUGCAGGAAGUCUGCUGAAAUGUCAGUUGGCGGUUGCAUGUUUUAAUGGUGAUGGAAACUGUGCCAGUUGCACGGGCUUGCAGUUGCCGGGUGUGAUUGAUGACCUAUUCUCCUAUGAUGGUCCACUUGGUGCUAUAUUUACUGAGGAAACUGUGUCCCUUUAUCUUUGGGCUCCUACUGCUCAAAGGGUACUUGCCUACAUCUAUUCAGAUCCAUCGGAUGGUGAUCCAUUGGAAACUGUUGAGCUCAAAGAGUCGGAUGGUGUGUGGAGUGUGAAUGGACCGAGAACUUGGGAAGGCCAUUAUUAUGCAUAUGAAGUUUCUGUGUUCCACCCCAGCACUUUACAUAUUGAGACAUGUUUAGCUAAUGAUCCUUACGCAAGAGGGCUUUCUGCGGAUGGGAAGCGAUCUUUGUUUAUCAAUCUUGAUUGUUCUACCUUAAAGCCAGAGGAAUGGGAUCAGUUGGCUGAUGAAAAGCCUGCUCUUUCAUCAAUUUCAGAUAUGAGUAUCUAUGAAUUGCAUAUUAGAGAUUUCAGUGCCAGUGACCACACUGUAAAUCCUGAACUACGUGGCGGCUAUCUGGCUUUUACCUUGUCGGAUUAUGCAGGCAUGCUUCACUUAACAAAAUUGGCAAAGGCUGGUCUUACACACGUGCAUUUGCUUCCAUCCUUUCAUUUUGCUGGUGUGGAUGAUGAGAAAGAGAACUGGAAGUACAUUGAUGAAGAUAAAUUGGCGUCAUUACCUCCGGAUUCAGUGGAACAGCAGGCUGAAGUUGUGGCUAUUCAACAUGAGGAUGGCUACAAUUGGGGCUACAAUCCUGUUCUUUGGGGUGUUCCGAAGGGAAGUUAUGCAACUAAUCCAAGUGGGUCAUGCCGUACUCUGGAGUUCAGAAAAUUGGUCCAGUCCCUAAACCGUGCAGGUCUUCGGGUUAUAUUGGAUGUUGUCUAUAAUCAUUUGCAUGGAAAUGGUCCAUUUGAUGUGAACUCUGUUCUUGACAAGGUGGUUCCGGGUUAUUACUUGAGAAGGAAUAGCGCUGGACUUGUUGAGCACAGCACAUGUACUAAUAAUACUGCCUGUGAGCAUUUUAUGGUUGAGCGCCUGAUUAUUGACGACCUUCUGCUUUGGGCAGUCAAAUACAAGAUUGAUGGAUUUCGAUUUGACCUCAUGGGGCAUUUAAUGAAAGGUACCAUGCUUAAAGCUAAAAUUGCUCUCCAUAGUUUGACGACAUCUAAGGAUGGGGUUGAUGGUAGCAAAAUUUAUGUAUAUGGUGAAGGAUGGGACUUUGGUGAGGUUGCAAAAAAUGCACGUGGAGUAAAUGCUUCACAAUUUAAUCUUGGAGGGACUGGUAUUGGGAGCUUCAAUGAUCGUAUACGUGAUGCUGUAGUUGGUGGAUCUCCAUUUGGACCUCCGCUUCAACAAGGCUUUGUGACAGGCUUAUCCUUGCAGCCUAAUGAGCAUGACUAUGGGGGAGAGGAUGUUACUGAACGUACUCUUGCAGUCCUAAAAGAUCAUAUUCAGGUUGGAUUGGCGGCAAAUUUGCAUAACUUCGUGUUCACCAAUCAUAGAGGAGAAUCCGUGAAAGGAUCUGAUGUUCAUACACAUGAUGGACUGCCUGUUGCGUAUGCUCAAUGCCCAACGGAAACUAUUAAUUAUGUAUCUGCUCAUGACAACGAAACUUUAUUUGAUGCAAUAAGUUUGAAGACUGCUGCAGAACUUUCUAUGCAAGAGAGAUGCAGAGUAAACCAUUUGGCUACAAGCAUAAUUGCACUUUCACAGAUGCAUGAUUGGAUCCUCUAUGAGGUAGGAUUAUUUCCGAUACAAAACAUGGUUAGAUACUGCAGUAAUGUGCAAUAUAUGUGAUAUGUAUGACAAUAGACAAUCUAUGUUCUUUCAAGUCUCUCACUGCCCAGCCAAUAGAUGGAUAGUGAUGGGAGAGAGAGAAUUAUCAGUUCAUGUCAUGUUCAGGUGAGUCUGACCCUCUCUGCGUCACCUUUUACUGCCAUGCACUAAUGGGUGACAGUCUUAACCUUAUGGAUCAUAGUCUCUAAUUAAAAGUUUAUUGUAUUGCAUUAACCUUCCAUCACUGUGGCUUUUAUUCUUUCUAAUUGUGUCAAUAUGCCUCAAGGUUUGCGUAAUUUAUAUCUUCGUCAUGUAACUAAGUGCAAUAUCAUAUUUUUUGACAAAAGAGUACCUCCAUUAGAUUUUUUCCCAAAAUUAAGUCUACAACAAGCCUUGCCCCUCUUUAAAUUAAGCCCAAAACAUUUUCCCUAGUUAACGAGCUUGAGUUUUUCUCUCUCCCAACCUCUCAACUUCCCAUCUCUCUCUCUCCCCUUCUCCCUAUUGUGCAGCCCAUAAGAUGCAUGUAAAUUACAAGGGUAGUAGUUUGAUAUCAUCAUUAACAUCGUCAUCACCAUCAUCAUUAUCCCAACUAUUUGGGAUCAAUUACACAAAUCUUAUUCUGUUAUUCUGCUCUAUCAAGGAUCAUACCCUCAGUUAGACCAUAAGUCACCAUAUCUCUUCACGCUACUUCUAUCUAAGUCCUUUUGGGAUUCCUCUUUGCCCUUUUAGAGCCUUCUACUUGAACCAAUUCGCCCUCCUAACCGGUAUUAUAUUAGGUCUACGCAACAACUUAAGUCUAUUUUCCCUCAUCAUAUCGCCUAUUGGAGCCACAUUUCCAUCGUUUUUAUUUAUUUAGAAUUCUAUCAUUUCUUUUCUUUCCCCUCAUCCAUCUCAAUAUCUUCAUUUCAGUUACACUCAUCCUAUGAAUAUGUUGUUUCUUGACCACCCAAUAUUCCAUCUUAUGAAACAUGGCUGGUCUUACGGCCAUACUAUGAUACUUCCCUUUUGGUUUCAUUAGUAUGCGGCAAUCACAUAAAACUUCGGAUGCACAUAUCCAAUUAGCCCACCCAGCUCUAAUUUUAUGUGCGACAUGAUCCUCAAUCUCUCCAUUAUCCUUGAUUAUCGACCCAAGAUAUCAAAAUAAUCUCUUUUAGAUAUUUCUUAGUCAUCAAUUUUCUUCCUUGUAUAUGCUCCUAUUAUUACUAAACUUGCAUUCUAUAGAUUCUGUCUUAGUCUGGAUAAUUUUAAAACCCUAAAUUUUCUUAAGCAUCCCUCCAAAAUUCUAAUUUUGCAUUGACACUGGCUUUAUUUUAAUCAAUCAAAACUUUGUCCUCCACGAAGGACAUGCAUCAAGGUACCUUAUCCUGUAGAUACCUAUUUAACUUGUUCAUAACCACAACAAAGAGAUAUGGGCUCAAUGCUUAACCCCUGAUGUAGGCCUACUGUCACUAAAAGCUUGCCUCUUCACCAGUUGUCCUCACACUAGUUAGUGCUUCCUCGUAUGUAACUUUCACCACAUCAAUAUAUCCUCUAGAGACUCCUUUCUUUUCCAACAACCACUAAAUUAGCUCUUUAAGUAGCCUAUUGUAUGUUUUCUCCAAAUCAAUAAAGACCAUGCGGGGGUCUCUUCCCUUCUCCCUAAAGUUCUCAAUCAAUUGCUUAAGUAGGAAAAUAGUCUCAAUUGUUGACCUCCCAGUCAUAAAGCCAAACUAAUUUUUUGAUACACUCGUUUCGUGUGUUAGACAUUGCUCAAUUACUUUCUUGUUUCAUGUGAUACACUCGUUUCAUGUGUUAGACAACUUCAUAGUGUGGUCCACCACUUUGAUCCUUCGAUAGUUUAUACAAUUUUGUAUCUCCUUUGUUUUUGUAAAUAGGUAUGCCAAUAUUUUUUCUCCAUUUGUCUGGAAUUUUUUUUGUUCUCAACAUCUUAUUGAACAACUUAGUCAGCUAGAAUAUGUCAGUCCCCUCCCAUGCACUUCCAAAACUCUAUUGGGGCACCAUCUGGUACUAAAGCCUUUCCUACCUUCAUCCUUCUCAAUGUUUUUUCACUUCAGAUGUCUUAAUCUUGUAUAUGUAUCUAUGGCCUACACCAUCAUUUAUGCCAAAGAUUCCUCCUAAUGUUGUGGUCCCAAAUGUUCGUCAUUUAAAAAUUUAUGCAAAUAAAUUUGUCCCCUUUCUUUGACUUCGUCAUCCUUCACUAACAUCCUCUAAUGCUCACUCUUAAUGCAUUUAAUAUGAUCGAGAUCCCUAUACUUCGACUCUCUUAUUUUGCUAGUUUGACAACAUCUUUUUCACCUUCUCUUAUGCCAACUUAUUUUCUAUCUCAUCAUAAGCCUCAAAUUUAGCCUUACUAUUAUCUUAGUGUUUUUUUAGAAUUUUUAUGUUUUUUUUUAAGUUUUAAUUAUUUCUAUUACAUUGUUAAGCUUUAUAACAUGAUCGUUUUUUACUAAUAGCCUCUUGAACCAUAUCACUCCACUAACAAAUUUUCUUAUCGGAUUUUCCUCUAGAUCCUCCAAAACUUCUUUUGCCACUUUUUUAAUACAGUCAACCAUCUCAUUCUACAUAACAUUAACUUCGUGCGCAGAAUUCCAUUUUCCUUCUUUACGAAUUGAUUCCUAAAUAAUUCUAUUUUCUCCUUUUUUAAAUUCCACCACCUAAUUUUGGACACCUAUUAAUUUCAUUCCCCCUCUUCCAUCUCUCUAUGCCAACAUCCAUCACCAGGUAGUAGUUCGGUAUAUGAUCCUCUAACUUAUAUAUAUGCAAUCAUGCCUCGACAACUAUAUGCAUAACUGAUGACUUCUAUAGAACAUACUAAGAAUAUAUUUGUAAUGAAGUCCAAACCCUCCCCUUUUUUUUUGUCAUGUUACGACAUCUGACAUUGCCAAUUUGAGAUGUCAUUUUUGAGAGAUGUCUUUUGUCAUGUUGGGAAAUUUUGGUUUAUAUCUGUGUUCACUAUUCAUGACUGCAUUUAUAUUAUUUUAUGGUAUUAUAUUGUUUACCCUCUUAUUUGUUUGGUGUCUAAUAUAUGCAUCCUAAUGGGAAAAGUCAAACAUCAUUUCACUACCUUAUUCUUUACCAUUAAUUUUGUGAGGAAGUCCUGGAAAAAAACCAGAUCGUGGACAACUCAUAUUCAAUAAUCUAACAACCCCCAAUUUGUCCAUCUUGCAUGUGCCUUUUAGUCUCAAAGGUCUGUUGACGAACCAUAAUUAAUUUUACUUAUUUUCAUUAUCAUUGUCAUUUUGUGACUUGCAAAUGAUUCUGCUUUUGUAUAGGGAAUACCCUUCUUCCAUGCCGGGGAUGAGAUUUUGCGCUCAAAAUCACUUGACCGUGAUUCUUACAACUCUGGUGAUUGGUUUAACAGGCUAGACUUUAGCUAUGAAUCAAAUAAUUGGGGUGUUGGUCUUCCUCCAAAAGAGAAAAAUGGAAAUAAUUGGCCGUUGAUAAAACCAUUAUUGGCGAAUGCUUCAUACAAGC